AACGCUAGCUACAGGCUUAACACAUGCAAGUCGAGGGGAAACGAUAUUGGAAGCUUGCUUCCGAUAGGCGUCGACCGGCGCACGGGUGAGUAACGCGUAUCCAACCUGCCCAUCACUUGGGGAUAACCUUGCGAAAGUAAGACUAAUACCCAAUGACGUCUCUAGAAGACAUCUGAAGGAGAUUAAAGAUUUAUCGGUGAUGGAUGGGGAUGCGUCUGAUUAGCUUGUUGGCGGGGUAACGGCCCACCAAGGCGACGAUCAGUAGGGGUUCUGAGAGGAAGGUCCCCCACAUUGGAACUGAGACACGGUCCAAACUCCUACGGGAGGCAGCAGUGAGGAAUAUUGGUCAAUGGGCGAGAGCCUGAACCAGCCAAGUAGCGUGUAGGAUGACGGCCCUAUGGGUUGUAAACUUCUUUUAUAAGGGAAUAAAGUGAGGGACGUGUCCCUUUUUGUAUGUACCUUAUGAAUAAGGAUCGGCUAACUCCGUGCCAGCAGCCGCGGUAAUACGGAGGAUCCAAGCGUUAUCCGGAUUUAUUGGGUUUAAAGGGAGCGUAGGUUGACAUAUAAGUCAGCUGUGAAAGUUUACGGCUCAACCGUGAAAUUGCAGUUGAUACUGUAUGUCUUGAGUGUACAAGAGGUGGGCGGAAUUCGUGGUGUAGCGGUGAAAUGCUUAGAUAUCACGAAGAACUCCGAUUG
rnacentral:rRNA from 1 species